ACGUAGGGCGCGAGCGUUGUCCGGAUUUAUUGGGCGUAAAGAGCUCGUAGGCGGCUCGUUGCGUCGGCUGUGAAAACCCGCAGCUCAACUGUGGGCUUGCAGCUGAUACGGGCGGGCUGGGAUUUGGUAGGGGAGACUGGAAUUCCUGGUGUAGCGGUGAAAUGCGCAGAUAUCAGGAGGAACACCGGUGGCGAAGACGGGUCUCUGGGCCGAUAUCGACGCUGAGGAGCGAAAGCGUGGGGAGCGAACAGG
rnacentral:rRNA from 1 species